UAGGGAAGGGAAGGGGCCUGAACAAUCUCUGAGGAGUAGUAGAAUAGCAGAUGGAACACUGAGAAGUGAUUUCCUUAAGGAUAGAUUUCCAUGAUGGGAAAGGAAAUGAGAGGUUCUAAGAGGCGGGCUAGCGGCUUGUAACCUACGUGGAAGAGGUUAUGAAAUGACAAUAGAAUAGAGUGGGCCUGUGAGGCUGGAAGCAGAUAGGACCAAACUUUUGGUCUCAUCUUAAGUCUUUAAAACCCAUUUAAAGAGUGUAUAACCCUUUAAAUGAUGUUAAAUGUUCCACCUUAUUCUAGGCUGGAAGAAACUUGAUUUUGCCUAGUAACUAGUCUUUCCAAUAUUAUUUGCCUUGUUUGUUCCAGAAAAUCUCAUCUAUAGCAUGGACUUAAGACAUCAAACUCUGUUCUACUGAGGAAGGACAUUUUUAUUUCCACUAGUUAAGACAAGGGUUUCCUUAGGCUUCAAUCAUCUGCUAGAAAUGCCCAGUAGGAUGAUUAUUUUAAACCUGUAAAAACAGCACAGUAUUAAAAUGAAUAUUAAAGGACAUUUUUCUAAAAUCUCCUUGACCUUGCCCCUUCCCAACUCUUUCAAUUUUGGGGUGUUCCCUGUUGGCCCUCGUUUUGUCUGGCAGGCCCUCUGCCAGACUGGGUAUUUGCUCUUCACAUUGUAGAAGAAACAUUUUUUUUUUUUCAUUUUUCUACAGAGACUUCAUGGUGAACCAUUUAAUGGCUGUAAAAUCUCAGUGUGCUGAUUUGCCAAACCAAUCCCUUAUUAUUGGUAAUCAGGAGGGUUUCCAAUCUUGAGUGAUUUUAGUGAACAUCUUCACAAAGAAAGCUUUUUGGGGGCUGGAUGCAGUGGCUCAUACCUGUAAUCCCAGCACUUUGGGAGGCUAAAGUGGGAGGACUACUUGAGUCCAGUAGUUUGAGAAUAGCCUGGGCAAUAUAGUAAGACCCCAUCUCUACUAAGCAUAAUAAUAAUAAUUAUAAAUUAGCCCGGUG
rnacentral:lncRNA from 1 species